AUAGUUUGAUGCUGGCUCAGAACGAACGCUGGCGGCGUGCCUAACACAUGCAAGUCGUACGAGAAAGCUCCCUUCGGGGAGUGAGUAGAGUGGCGCACGGGUGAGUAACGCGUGGGUAAUCUGCCCCCGAGUCUGGAAUAACCCUUCGAAAGGAGGGCUAAUACCGGAUAACACUUCGACUCCUUCGGUGGUUGAAGUCAAAGAUGGCCUCUGUUUCAUGCUAUCGCUUGAGGAGGAGCCCGCGUCCCAUUAGCUUGUUGGUGGGGUAAUGGCCCACCAAGGCUACGAUGGGUAGCCGGCCUGAGAGGGUGACCGGCCACACUGGAACUGAGACACGGUCCAGACUCCUACGGGAGGCAGCAGUGGGGAAUUUUGCGCAAUGGGCGAAAGCCUGACGCAGUGACGCCGCGUGGACGAUGAAGGCCUUCGGGUCGUAAAGUCCUGUCAAGUGGGAAGAAGUGCGUGGUCGUUAAUAUCGGCCGUGUUUGACGGUACCACUAGAGGAAGCCCCGGCCAACUCCGUGCCAGCAGCCGCGGUAAUACGGGGGGGGCGAGCGUUGUUCGGAAUUAUUGGGCGUAAAGGGCACGUAGGCGGUUUGGCAAGUCUGGUGUGAAAGCCCUCGGCUCAACCGAGGAACUGCAUCAGAAACUGCCGAACUAGAGUUCGGGAGAGGAGAGUGGAAUUCCCAGUGUAGCGGUGAAAUGCGUAGAUAUUGGGAGGAACACCUGUGGCGAAGGCGGCUCU
rnacentral:rRNA from 1 species